CGAAGCGAAAGAGCGACAGAAAAGAGAAAUUUAAAAAAGGACACGAAAGACUGCUGCUAUCACUUCACUCUCCUUUUGUGUAGGCUCAGUCUCUCUCUAGCCGCAGACAACUUAACGGUUCGCCGAGCCAUAUCGGCGACGCCGAUUUAACCGUACGCCGGAGAUCUUCGCGAAUCGUUGGCUGUUUCUGGAUCUCUGGACCUUUUCUCCCCCUGUUCAGUGCCCUGGAUUAACUCUCA
rnacentral:misc_RNA from 1 species